GCCUUAUAGCAGUCUUACCAAGUCACUGCACAGGAGUUACUUUAAUCCUCUAUAGUUGAAAUAAAGAGCUCAGCACUACAUGCGUCCUGAAAUAAAUGCCUGACAUUCCCUUUGGUGAGUUUUACUGUCGCGGGGUACAGAAGGAAAGCCUGAAACCCCUUUGUACGGGCUUCAUGCAUCACCUUGUAGCGUAAUUUACGACGCUUCAGAGUGGCCUCGCUUUAGUCCGCGGCAAACUGAAGUUGAAUAUUAGCCACUUCUGAGCGAUUUUUCCUGGAUUCUUUGAGAAUACGAUCCCUGCCAGUAUACCGGAGACAUCUUACGAUCCGCGACCGUGGUCUCCGCGGCUCACUCCCAGUGCCUCGCUCUGGCAAGCGUCCAAGCCGGUGACAUUGCAUCAGCACCGGGCAGGUGUCAACGAGAGCAGGAAACCACUUGGGAAGGUGUUCUCGCAGGUUCUUGCCUGUGUUAGAAGAGCACAGAAUUGCAGAAGAUGGUCCCCCUGUAACCCGUAGUAAUUGGAGCCCACAGCAGUAUUUCCAGCAGUACAUUGACAAUGAACUAAUUCAGGACCUGUCCUUCAUCAACCAACGUAUGGUACAGGAUUCAGGCUUAAGCACAACACCAGAAGAAAUCAAGACCUUUUUAGGAAUCUCGAAAAUAUGGUGCGAUCCACUUGCCUGAAAUGGUUGCCAGUCCAAAUCCUUCCAGAUGCAGAAUGCCUGGGUGCACUAGUAGAACCUAUGUGAGAUGUGUUAAAUGUGACAUGUUCCUAUGUGUCUCCAAAAAGUCACAGUGCUUCCUCACAUAUCACAAAUGAAUUGGUAUUUGUGAACUGGCAAACCAAAUGUUCAUCAUAGGGCUAUGGCCAGUGAAAAGUUGAAUGAGUUGUAUGUGUAUUUGACCCUGACUGAGUUGUAUCCUAUGUUUUUGUGAAGUUUUUAUGCAGUUUGUGUGUGUUGUGUUGAUAUCCAGGCAGAUUUUUAAUUCUGUUGAUGUUUUAGGGUCGGGAUGAAUUAAGUCCCGUUGUACACUACAGUUCACAUUAUAAAACAUUAAUGAAAUUAUGAAAAAAUCUAAAAUCUUUGCAAUGUGUUUUUUUACCACCCCAACACAUCCUUUAUAUAAAAAAAAUCUAAACACCUUUCCCCCCCCCCAG
ensembl:lncRNA